CAGGCUUAACACAUGCAAGUCGAGGGGCAGCAUGGUCUUAGCUUGCUAAGGCCGAUGGCGACCGGCGCACGGGUGAGUAACACGUAUCCAACCUGCCGUCUACUCUUGGACAGCCUUCUGAAAGGAAGAUUAAUACAAGAUGGCAUCAUGAGUCCGCAUGUUCACAUGAUUAAAGGUAUUCCGGUAGACGAUGGGGAUGCGUUCCAUUAGAUAGUAGGCGGGGUAACGGCCCACCUAGUCUUCGAUGGAUAGGGGUUCUGAGAGGAAGGUCCCCCACAUUGGAACUGAGACACGGUCCAAACUCCUACGGGAGGCAGCAGUGAGGAAUAUUGGUCAAUGGGCGAGAGCCUGAACCAGCCAAGUAGCGUGAAGGAUGACUGCCCUAUGGGUUGUAAACUUCUUUUAUAAAGGAAUAAAGUCGGGUAUGGAUACCCGUUUGCAUGUACUUUAUGAAUAAGGAUCGGCUAACUCCGUGCCAGCAGCCGCGGUAAUACGGAGGAUCCGAGCGUUAUCCGGAUUUAUUGGGUUUAAAGGGAGCGUAGAUGGAUGUUUAAGUCAGUUGUGAAAGUUUGCGGCUCAACCGUAAAAUUGCAGUUGAUACUGAAUAUCUUGAGUGCAGUUGAGGCAGGCGGAAUUCGUGGUGUAGCGGUGAAAUGCUUAGAUAUCACGAAGAACUCCGAUUGCGAAGGCAGCCUGCUAAGCUGCAACUGACAUUGAGGCUCGAAAGUGUGGGUAUCAAACAGGAUUAGAUACCCUGGUAGUCCACACGGUAAACGAUGAAUACUCGCUGUUUGCGAUAUACUGCAAGCGGCCAAGCGAAAGCGUUAAGUAUUCCACCUGGGGAGUACGCCGGCAACGGUGAAACUCAAAGGAAUUGACGGGGGCCCGCACAAGCGGAGGAACAUGUGGUUUAAUUCGAUGAUACGCGAGGAACCUUACCCGGGCUUAAAUUGCAGAUGAAUUACGGUGAAAGCCGUAAGCCGCAAGGCAUCUGUGAAGGUGCUGCAUGGUUGUCGUCAGCUCGUGCCGUGAGGUGUCGGCUUAAGUGCCAUAACGAGCGCAACCCUUGUUGUCAGUUACUAACAGGUUCCGCUGAGGACUCUGACAAGACUGCCAUCGUAAGAUGUGAGGAAGGUGGGGAUGACGUCAAAUCAGCACGGCCCUUACGUCCGGGGCUACACACGUGUUACAAUGGGGGGUACAGAGGGCCGCUACCACGCGAGUGGAUGCCAAUCCCCAAAACCUCUCUCAGUUCGGACUGGAGUCUGCAACCCGACUCCACGAAGCUGGAUUCGCUAGUAAUCGCGCAUCAGCCACGGCGCGGUGAAUACGUUCCCGGGCCUUGUACACACCGCCCGUCAAGCCAUGGGAGCCGGGGGUACCUGAAGUGCGUAACCGCGAGGAGCGCCCUAGGGUAAAACUGGUGACUGGGGC
rnacentral:rRNA from 1 species